rnacentral:rRNA from 1 species
CCUACGGGAGGCAGCAGUGGGGAAUAUUGCACAAUGGGGGAAACCCUGAUGCAGCGACGCCGCGUGAGUGAAGAAGUAUUUCGGUACGUAAAGCUCUAUCAGCAGGGAAGAAAAUGACGGUACCUGACUAAGAAGCCCCGGCUAACUACGUGCCAGCAGCCGCGGUAAUACGUAGGGGGCAAGCGUUAUCCGGAUUUACUGGGUGUAAAGGGAGCGUAGACGGCAGCGCAAGUCUGGAGUGAAGUCCCAUGGCUUAACCAUGGAACUGCUUUGGAAACUGUGCAGCUAGAGUGCAGGAGAGGUAAGCGGAAUUCCUAGUGUAGCGGUGAAAUGCGUAGAUAUUAGGAGGAACACCAGUGGCGAAGGCGGCUUACUGGACUGUAACUGACGUUGAGGCUCGAAAGCGUGGGGAGCAAACAGGAUUAGAUACCCCUGUAGUC